UGGGGAAUAUUGGACAAUGGGCGAAAGCCUGAUCCAGCCAUGCCGCGUGUGUGAAGAAGGUCUUCGGAUUGUAAAGCACUUUAAGUUGGGAGGAAGGGCAGUAAGCGAAUACCUUGCUGUUUUGACGUUACCGACAGAAUAAGCACCGGCUAACUCUGUGCCAGCAGCCGCGGUAAUACAGAGGGUGCAAGCGUUAAUCGGAAUUACUGGACGUAAAGCGCGCGUAGGUGGUUCGUUAAGUUGGAUGUGAAAGCCCCGGGCUCAACCUGGGAACUGCAUCCAAAACUGGCGAGCUAGAGUAGGGCAGAGGGUGGUGGAAUUUCCUGUGUAGCGGUGAAAUGCGUAGAUAUAGGAAGGAACACCAGUGGCGAAGGCGACCACCUGGGCUCAUACUGACACUGAGGUGCGAAAGCGUGGGGAGCAAACAGG
rnacentral:rRNA from 1 species